UUACACAUGCAAGUCUCAGCACACCUGUGAGAACGCCCUUUCAACCUUCACCAGGCCAAGGAGCCGGCAUCAGACACAACCCUAGUCCACAACGCCUAGUCUCACCACACCCCCAAGGGUUAUCAGCAGUGAUAAAUAUUAAGCAUAAGCGAAAGCUUGACUUAAUUAGAGAAAAGAGAGCCGGCCAAUUCGGUGCCAGCCGCCGCGGCUACCCCGGGGGCUCAAGUUGAAGAUUAUCGGCGUUAAGCGUGAUUAAAGUUUUAUAAGAUUAAGGUCAAAUUAAUACUUAGUAGUUUAAAGCUUGUUAUUAAGAAGAACACAGACGAAAGUUACCUUAACCCACAUACUUGAAUACACGACAGCUGGAAAACAAACUAGGAUUAGAUACCCUACUAUGCCCAGCCGUAAACAAUUAACUUACACCAAUAAGCGCCAGGGAAUUACGAGCCGCGCUUAAAACCCAAAGGAUUUGACGGUGUCCCACCCAACUAGAGGAGCCUGUUCUAUAAUCGAUGAUCCUCGCUAUACCUAACCACCCCUCGCUAACCAGUCUGUAUACCUCCGUCGAAAACUUACCGUGUGAACGUCCUCAGUAAGUUCAAUGGCCACAUCACGUCAAUACGUCAGGUCAAGGUGCAGCUUAAGGAGUGGAAAGUAAUUGGCUACAAUUUCUAAUCUAGAACAAACGAAAGACUGCGUGAAAUCACAGUCAUGAAGGUGGAUUUAGCAGUAAAAAGAAAAUAGAGAGUUCUUUUUAACCCGGCUCUGGGACGUGUACACACCGCCCGUCACCCUCUUCAACAGUAAUACUACCUAGUUCCUAA
rnacentral:rRNA from 1 species